UGGGGAAUCUUGCGCAAUGGGCGAAAGCCUGACGCAGCCAUGCCGCGUGAAUGAUGAAGGUCUUAGGAUUGUAAAAUUCUUUCACCGGGGACGAUAAUGACGGUACCCGGAGAAGAAGCCCCGGCUAACUUCGUGCCAGCAGCCGCGGUAAUACGAAGGGGGCUAGCGUUGCUCGGAAUUACUGGGCGUAAAGGGAGCGUAGGCGGACAUUUAAGUCAGGGGUGAAAUCCCGGGGCUCAACCUCGGAAUUGCCUUUGAUACUGGGUGUCUUGAGUAUGAGAGAGGUGUGUGGAACUCCGGGUGUAGAGGUGAAAUUCGUAGAUAUUCGGAAGAACACCAGUGGCGAAGGCGACACACUGGCUCAUUACUGACGCUGAGGCUCGAAAGCGGGGGGAGCAAACAGG
rnacentral:rRNA from 1 species